AAUAGAUACCCCGGUAGUCCAUGCCGUAAACGUUGGGCGCUAGAUGUGGGGACCAUUCCACGGUUUCCGUGUCGCAGCUAACGCAUUAAGCGCCCCGCCUGGGGAGUACGGCCGCAAGGCUAAAACUCAAAGGAAUUGACGGGGGCCCGCACAAGCGGCGGAGCAUGCGGAUUAAUUCGAUGCAACGCGAAGAACCUUACCAAGGCUUGACAUAUACGAGAACGCUCUAGAAAUAGAGAACUCUUUGGACACUCGUAUACAGGUGGUGCAUGGUUGUCGUCAGCUCGUGUCGUGAGAUGUUGGGUUAAGUCCCGCAACGAGCGCAACCCUCGUUCUAUGUUGCCAGCGGUUCGGCCGGGAACUCAUAGGAGACUGCCGGGGUCAACUCGGAGGAAGGUGGGGAUGACGUCGAAAUCAUCAUGCCCCUUAUGUCUUGGGCUUCACGCAUGCUACAAUGGCCGGUACAAAGGGCUGCAAUACCGUAAGGUGGAGCGAAUCCCAAAAAGCCGGUCUCAGUUCGGAUUGAGGU
rnacentral:rRNA from 1 species